rnacentral:rRNA from 1 species
GACGAACGCUGGCGGCGUGCUUAACACAUGCAAGUCGAACGGAAAGGCCCUGCUUUUGUGGGGUGCUCGAGUGGCGAACGGGUGAGUAACACGUGAGUACCCUGUCCCUGACUUUGGGAUAACUUCAGGAAACUGGGGCUAAUACCGGCUAGGAGCUCCUGCUGCAUGGUGGGGGCUGGAAAGUUUCGGCGGUUGGGGAUGGACUCGCGGCUUAUCAGCUUGUUGGUGGGGUAGUGGCUUACCAAGGCUUUGACGGGUAGCCGGCCUGAGAGGGUGACCGGCCACAUUGGGACUGAGAUACGGCCCAGACUCCUACGGGAGGCAGCAGUGGGGAAUAUUGCACAAUGGGCGGAAGCCUGAUGCAGCAACGCCGCGUGCGGGAUGACGGCCUUCGGGUUGUAAACCGCUUUCGCCUGUGACGAAGCGUGAGUGACGGUAAUGGGUAAAGAAGCACCGGCUAACUACGUG